UCGGCACAUACGCACAAUAUUAGAUGGAGAGAAACGGUUCUCUCUUCCAUUUUUGCGAGACACACAAAUACAAACAUCAAGUUUGUAUAAAAAAUGGUUGGUUUCUUUCCAUUGAUACCCAAGACGAACCAUCGAAUACUUUUGGUACAAGAUAUCUCAAUGAAUCAAAAUCUAGUUCUUGAAUGGGAAACCAGUCUUAUCCGAUCAAAAAUUUGGGUGUACCUCCAAAUGGUUUGUUCUGAAAGUGAUUACACGAUUCUGGUUCCAAUCCAAGUUAUUUACUUAUUUUGUUGUUCGGGUUACGGGAUUUUACAUGAACAGGUUUGUAUACGGCAUUUACGGGAUCAAAUAGGGAGCUCUAUUUAAGAUUCUAGUGGCAAUGGGGGUAAUCAAAUCCAAUCAUAUUCCUGACAACUUAGUCGCUUUUGAGAUGAUGCUUUUCUCUAUUUUUCAAUGUUUUGCAUUCUCCCCUGGAUUGUAUAGUGUUUCUCAGUCCUCUCCUUAGAUGAAAAGCACUAAAUUAGCUGCAAUUGCCCAACCUAAGUUUGAUGAGCUAAAGAAGAAGUGAAUGUGAAUCUGCAUUAAUGUGUAUUUUGAUAUAUGUGUGGGAAAAUACAUUAAUAUUCAAAAGUUUAUGGGUGAGUGUCAGACAUACAUUUAGCAUGUGUUGACAAAUUCCUUUAUGCCAGAGAAUACACAUUUGCUGAGUAAUUAGAGAAGGGUCCGAUGUAAUGCCUGAAAGUUAAUGGGUGAAUGUUAAACAUGUAUUUAGUAUC